AACGAACGCUGGCGGCAUGCCUAACACAUGCAAGUCGAACGAGACUUUCGGGUCUAGUGGCGCACGGGUGCGUAACGCGUGGGAACCUGCCCUUAGGUUCGGAAUAACUCCGCGAAAGGGGUGCUAAUACCGGAUAAUGUCUUCGGACGAAAGAUUUAUCGCCUUUGGAUGGGCCCGCGUUGGAUUAGCUAGUUGGUAGGGUAAAGGCCUACCAAGGCGACGAUCCAUAGCUGGUCUGAGAGGAUGAUCAGCCACACUGGGACUGAGACACGGCCCAGACUCCUACGGGAGGCAGCAGUGGGGAAUAUUGGACAAUGGGCGAAAGCCUGAUCCAGCAAUGCCGCGUGAGUGAUGAAGGCCUUAGGGUUGUAAAGCUCUUUUACCCGGGAUGAUAAUGACAGUACCGGGAGAAUAAGCUCCGGCUAACUCCGUG
rnacentral:rRNA from 1 species